rnacentral:tRNA from 1 species
GCCUGGGUGGCCAGUUGGUUAGGCAUCUGACUUUAGCUCAGGUCAUGAUAUCACAGUUUGUGGGUUCAAGCCCCUCAUCAGGCU